GACGAACGCUGGCGGCGUGCCUAAUACAUGCAAGUCGAGCGGGACUCUUCGGAGUCUAGCGGCGGACGGGUGAGUAACACGUGGGCAACCUGCCUGUAAGACUGGGAUAACACCGGGAAACCGGUGCUAAUACCGGAUAAUCCUUUUCUUCUCAUGAGGAAAAGUUGAAAGUCGGUUUACGCUGACACUUACAGAUGGGCCCGCGGCGCAUUAGCUAGUUGGUGAGGUAACGGCUCACCAAGGCGACGAUGCGUAGCCGACCUGAGAGGGUGAUCGGCCACACUGGGACUGAGACACGGCCCAGACUCCUACGGGAGGCAGCAGUAGGGAAUCUUCCGCAAUGGACGAAAGUCUGACGGAGCAACGCCGCGUGAGCGAUGAAGGCCUUCGGGUCGUAAAGCUCUGUUGUUAGGGAAGAACAAGUACCGGAGUAACUGCCGGUACCUUGACGGUACCUAACCAGAAAGCCACGGCUAACUACGUGCCAGCCGCCGCGGUAAAAC
rnacentral:rRNA from 1 species